ACUCCUACGGGAGGCAGCAGUGGGGAAUAUUGCACAAUGGGCGGAAGCCUGAUGCAGCGACGCCGCGUGAGGGAUGACGGCCUUCGGGUUGUAAACCUCUUUCAGUAGGGAAGAAGCGUAAGUGACGGUACCUGCAGAAGAAGCGCCGGCUAACUACGUGCCAGCAGCCGCGGUAAU
rnacentral:rRNA from 1 species